AUUAUCUCUUAAAUCAAAGCCGUAGAAUUUUUGAAUCAUUGACCAUUUAAUUGGAAUUUCUUUUCUUUUCAAGAAUGGUGAGCCAUAUUUGAUAUUGGUUAUUGCUUCAUCAAGUGGAAGUUUCUUCUAUCAAUUUUAAAUUCCAGGCAAAUCAACAAAUUGUGCAAGAAUCGCUAGUUGAAUUGUUAAAUUUCCUCCAGACAGCCACUGAAGUGGACUGAAAUUGUCUAAAAUAUACAAAGUCCUUACGGAAAACUUCAGAAAGGUAGAAUUGUGCACUUCGUCAUACUUGUUCAAGAUGAAUUCAACAAUUCGAUUGUUCGGCAUGUGGGGUGAUAGAAAGUAAUCAUCAUCAUCAGCCUUCAUCAGAAAGUCAUCAUCAGUAUUGUUAUGUUAUUUUGUGCCCUAAAAAAAGCUGACCAAUAAAAAUAAGGGGCAAAAAAUUCUGAUCAUAACAGGCAUUUGCCCAGCUUCUGUAAAGAUUUCACACGAAUGGUACUGAUAAUAGAAGAUUAAGGAGCAUGCAUUUCUAAUGCAAAUAUAUGUAUUUAUAUUACUUUUAAACAUUUUUAAAUGCAAGUAACAUUAAUGCAUUUUCACAAAUAUAAAAUAUAUUUUGUAUAACUUGAGUUAAUACAAAAUGAGAAGCGCAUAUUUGAAAACGAUACCCGGACUCCUUACUAUUUUUGCCUUCAGCACAAAUACAAGUCCUUAUGGUAAACGUCAAAAGGACAGAACUGAAUACUUUAGCUUUAAAGGCUGCCAGUAUAAUUUAUGCUUGACUGGGAUCAUUUCGACCAUUUGAUUGUUUACCAUGUGAUCCGAUAAAUACUGCGUAACGCUACCGGUAUUGUUUAUGCUAU